rnacentral:tRNA from 4 species
GGCAUAGUAUAAGUCUAUGUUACGGCCAUAGAAUUGGUGAUAUUUCACCGUAUGCUU